GUCUUGGAGUCUCUACUAAUGAGCUGAUGAUCUGAAUCAGGUGUGUUUGAUUAAGGAGACAUGGAAAACCUGCAGUGUUGGGGGGCCUCCAGGAACGUGGUUGGGAACCACUGCUGUAGAGGACAGUGAUCAUCAGGAGCCUCCAUCCAGUGUUCCUGAUGUCCCGCCCACUGCCGAGGACCAGCAGAUGGAGGACGACCAGCCUCGGGAUCAGGACGGUCCAGUCAGUCCAUCAGCAGAAUGCUGCUGUUUUAUACGAGUGUGUCUGAAGAGCGACCCAGAGCAGAGGUUUCAUCUGGAGGAGAUGCUCUUUCAUUACUGGUUCAAGGUCCCCCUGUAGGUCAUGGAGAAAAGGGUCAGCUUUUCAUCUGAUGGGGUGACAAGGGUGGCCCCUCCAUCCCUCCACCCUAAGUGUCUUGUGGGGGUGGCAGGUCACACUGGCUUGAGGUGGUAGUUUUAGCGUCUUGCAGAACUACUUGCCUAAGGAUGUGUACAUAUUGUAAAUAGUUUAGUUUUGGGUUAGUUAAGCUAGCUGCUCCAUCCCUCCAGCCUUAGCAUUUUGCAGGGCUGGCAGGUCUUUGUUGCGUCUGGCAGUUUGGCUUGAGGUGGUAGUUUUAGCGUCUUGCGGAAUUACUUGCCUAGGGAUAUGUAAUGUAAAUAGUUAGUUUAGUUUUUGUUAAGUUAGAUUAAUUGGGUAUUGCUUCCUUCUAAUCAUAUUUUUAAUAAUGGAGUCCCUGUCAAGGUCCCUACAAGCCCCUUUCACUGCCGCCCCAGAGGUUCCUGCCACUGGCAUCCGGAUCCCAGAAAUCUGUGUCACGAAUGCAUGAGAGGUUUC